AACUCGGUGUCUGAGGGGUUUUGUCUGUGGCUCAUCCUGCUGCAAUGGUGGUUCCUUUAUAGGAUAUUCAUGAUUCCCCACCUUGAAUCAAUGUCGCCAUCUUCCUUUUAACUCAGGGACUAAUGAGAUACACAGGUCUUCAAUGCCAGUCGCCUCACGGACUCACCACCUAGUUUAUCAAGGAGAAGUCGACGCUGGGAGCAACUACAAAAAUGAAGCUACUCUGAUUUAGCCAAAAAGAGUCUCCAUUCUAAGGACUCCUGUGAUUUGAUUGGGUGCCUCUACAUCAUUCACGAUAAUCCUCUGACCUCAAGUUCUGUAACCUGAAUCACAUCAUAAG
rnacentral:lncRNA from 1 species